CACAGCCACUGCUCGAUAAUGGAGGAGGAGGAAAGAAUACAACAAAGAUCGUAAUCAUCACUGUAUCAUCAAUUGCAGUAGUUGCGGCUCUCUUGGGUUUCUGGUAUGAUUCAUUCUUUGGCAGGAGGAAAAGAAAAAAAGAAGGGGAAAUAAGCCAAGAAAUUAUUUUAGGAAAUUCCGAAGGUUCACAGUCAACAAACUUCAAGC